rnacentral:rRNA from 1 species
AGUGGCGAACGGGUGAGUAACGCGUGAGUAUCUGCCCUUAGGAGGGGGACAACAGUUGGAAACGACUGCUAAUACCCCAUAUGUCUACGGAUGAAAGAUUUUAUCGCCUGAGGAUGAGUUCGCGUCUGAUUAGCUAGUUGGUGAGGUAAAGGCUCACCAAGGCGACGAUCAGUAGCUGGUCUGAGAGGAUGAUCAGCCACACUGGGACUGAGACACGGCCCAGACUCCUACGGGAGGCAGCAGUGGGGAAUUUUCCGCAAUGGGGGCAACCCUGACGGAGCAAUACCGCGUGCGGGAGGACGGCCUGUGGGUUGUAAACCGCUUUUCUCAGGGAAGAAGACCUGACGGUACCUGAGGAAUCAGCAUCGGCUAACUCCGUGCCAGCAGCCGGUAAUACGGAGGAUGCAAGCUAUCCGGAAUUAUUGGGCGUAAAGCGUCCGUAGGUGGUUAAUCAAGUCUGCUGUUAAAGAGCGGAGCUCAACUCCAUUUAAGCGGUGGAAACUGGUUGACUAGAGAGUGGUAGGGGUAGAGGGAAUUCCCAGUGUAGCGGUGAAAUGCGUAGAUAUUGGGAAGAACACCGGUGGCGAAAGCGCUCUACUGGGCCACAUCUGACACUGAUGGACGAAAGCUAGGGGAGCGAAAGGGAUUAGAUACCCC